rnacentral:telomerase_RNA from 20 species
CACUCUUCAACCUUCAAUCGCCAAAAGCUGCCUUCGCAAUAUCCGGCAGGAAACGUCUCAACCUAACGCACAUCGAACCCAGGAAUCCGGUUCGAGAUGCAGAUUUGGCCAAUUCACAUCGAGAUAUACAGCCACUGACCGCACGUACCAAGCCGACGCGCCCUCCCAGCUCCAAAGGUCUUUCGCCUCGAGCAGCCCUUCUCGCACCGCGCCUCCCCCACAGUUCUCCGAUUCCGGUUUUCCGCAAGGAAUGUCGCCCCGACCGCUCCCCGGGACUGGAAACCCCGCAGUACGUCGCAGCUUCGAUCCCGUAUCGGGUGCCUCUCAAGCUUGCCGCGUUCGGAUCUACUGUGGCCGAUUCCUUGCCCUUUUCACCUCGGCAAGCCAGUCCCGCGGGAGCGAAUCGGUCUCGGAACUUAACCCUAAGCAGAUCUUUGGUCCGUCAAGUCUUGCGCUGCUGAUAGUCAUCCGGCCCUCACCUUCUAUGCCCGCGCCGUCCGACGAGCUGCAGCUGCGGGCCGCUGAAAAGUGGUGCAGUCUCCGCUCUGGCGACGGCAGGGGCUGACCGGCGAGGUCCGAGCUCCAGUCACCCGCCAGGGUGGGCGACCGUCUCUUCCCAUGAGUCCACACGGUAAGCGCCUCUGGCCUGAGGCCGCUCGUCGGGAACGGGACACUGGAACUAGUACUCUGGUCACGAUGGAUUGUCCGUGGCGGUGUUGGCCAGACGGUCGAGGCAAGGCGGGCGCAUUCGAGCAGCUCGGUCUGCUCGCAUGCUCUUUUGUGGUUGUCUCCCGUCGGAGCAGCCUUCGGGAGGAGAGGAAGAGCGCAGUCUCGGCUACACACGAUCAACCAAGGCGUUUCACUCCUCCACCAGCAGCUCGCCUCGCAGGAAUCACCCCUUCUGGGAGUGAGCGAGGGCUGUCAGGUUACACACGGAAACGCCGACGGAUGAUACUACCCCUUCUCGCCGUGCUGUUACGCUCUCGGUACCUCGACUUCCACCUUUUUCACCCUGCAUGCGCACCUAGUCCUCCUGACGACCCAGCCGACCCUCGCGGACCGCGCCGGGGCAAAUACAUCGCCCGACGCGUCAUGGAACCCAACACCAUGAGAUCCCGACCAGGCGCAUUAACCCGUCCUCGUAGGCUCCGUCCUACGUUACGACGGGACGCCAAAGCCCCUGCCCGUGUCUCUAGCACGGCCCUUUCCUCCGCCGGGGGCCUGAAACAUGGUCGAUCGGCACGGAGAUGAUAGCGCGGUUUUUUGAGGAUGUAUUUUGUCCGUGCGGUUACCUGCCCUCCUUUUUUUCCUGCCCAUCCUUCGGGGUGGUGCCGGCGAUGGGAGAGGAAACAAAAACUAGUCCCCGUUGGCAGUGCGACAACACACGGAGAGACCUGGCUUGGGUUGGGCUGUCGACUCUUGGUAUGUUGCGGCUUUGGUUGCCGAUUUUGGCCGGAUCUGCCUCGACGACGACCGGAUUCGGCUGCGGGCUUGGUGCUGUGGCAGGUUUUGACUCGUUGUGGGGGCCGGGUUUGAAGGUUGGGUCGACCGGCUGAAAACCAAUGCGUCGAACUGGGUGCUCCGGAUGAAGGGGCCUGCACGGGGACGGGCCGAGUCGCCGGGACCCAUCUCGAGUUGGAGUCAAAGCUUCGUGCUUGUCUGGUGCCUGGAGCUCGUCCCCUGCAGCUGUCCGGAUUCUGGGUUCCUUCAGGGAGGGCUUUGUGUUUGCGGUUCGACCGUUUGGAAAAGGACGGGCCCGUUGGUGGGUGGUCCUGGUUGUCCUCUCUCCAGAAAUGGCGGGAGGGCAACCCCUCUUUUUGGAGG